rnacentral:misc_RNA from 1 species
UUUGGUGGCCCAUGGAUAAGCAGUGAGUACUCUCUUGAUAUCUUUGUCUCCCCUCCUCCAACUUUAUUUUAUUUAUUUAUUUAAUGGUGGGAGGGAUGGGGGGCAAGACUCUUCAUUUAUUCGCAAGACUCUUCAUUUAUUCAAUGUCAAAAUUUUGUUGAAAAUAAUGUUCCUGGAUUUCCUUCAAGGCUUUGUUUGAUUUUUUUAUGCACCAAGUUCAUGUGCCUGUCUUAAUUUUUGAUCUUUGCUGGUGUGCUUAUCAAACCAUCUAAGGCAACUCUUUUUGUGAGUGACUCAUGAACUCUGCUGCUUUUCCUGAUUUACUUUUUUGUAUUUUAUUACUCUAUUACAAGAUGCUCAACUCUGCUAAUACUUUUUCUGGUUGUUAUCUAAAAAGAAGAUGCACACAACUGUAGAUAGUAUUGGGUGUUAAUGUGAUGUUGGGUAGAUGUUAAGUUCAAAAACUGUAGAGUUGGAAUUGUGACUACAGAGGCUUUCCUUUUGUUCCAGCAAAAUGUAAAAUGUUUAUAUCUAGUAUUUGGAAUUAUGUCCUCAUGUUGUAUUAUUUUGCUUUAAUCAACAGGUUUUAUGAAG